AGAGUUUGAUCCUGGCUCAGGAUGAACGCUAGCUACAGGCUUAACACAUGCAAGUCGAGGGGCAGCAUGGUCUUAGCUUGCUAAGGCCGAUGGCGACCGGCGCACGGGUGAGUAACACGUAUCCAACCUGCCGUCUACUCUUGGACAGCCUUCUGAAAGGAAGAUUAAUACAAGAUGGCAUCAUGAGUCCGCAUGUUCACAUGAUUAAAGGUAUUCCGGUAGACGAUGGGGAUGCGUUCCAUUAGAUAGUAGGCGGGGUAACGGCCCACCUAGUCUUCGAUGGAUAGGGGUUCUGAGAGGAAGGUCCCCCACAUUGGAACUGAGACACGGUCCAAACUCCUACGGGAGGCAGCAGUGAGGAAUAUUGGUCAAUGGGCGAGAGCCUGAACCAGCCAAGUAGCGUGAAGGAUGACUGCCCUAUGGGUUGUAAACUUCUUUUAUAAAGGAAUAAAGUCGGGUAUGGAUACCCGUUUGCAUGUACUUUAUGAAUAAGGAUCGGCUAACUCCGUGCCAGCAGCCGCGGUAAUACGGAGGAUCCGAGCGUUAUCCGGAUUUAUUGGGUUUAAAGGGAGCGUAGAUGGAUGUUUAAGUCAGUUGUGAAAGUUUGCGGCUCAACCGUAAAAUUGCAGUUGAUACUGGAUAUCUUGAGUGCAGUUGAGGCAGGCGGAAUUCGUGGUGUAGCGGUGAAAUGCUUAGAUAUCACGAAGAACUCCGAUUGCGAAGGCAGCCUGCUAAGCUGCAACUGACAUUGAGGCUCGAAAGUGUGGGUAUCAAACAGGAUUAGAUACCCUGGUAGUCCACACGGUAAACGAUGAAUACUCGCUGUUUGCGAUAUACAGCAAGCGGCCAAGCGAAAGCGUUAAGUAUUCCACCUGGGGAGUACGCCGGCAACGGUGAAACUCAAAGGAAUUGACGGGGGCCCGCACAAGCGGAGGAACAUGUGGUUUAAUUCGAUGAUACGCGAGGAACCUUACCCGGGCUUAAAU
rnacentral:rRNA from 1 species